GAUGAACGCUGGCGGCGUGCCUAAUACAUGCAAGUCGAGCGAACAGACGAGGAGCUUGCUCCUCUGACGUUAGCGGCGGACGGGUGAGUAACACGUGGAUAACCUACCUAUAAUACUGGGAUAACUUCGGGAAACCGGAGCUAAUACCGGAUAAUAUAUUGAACCGCAUGGUUCAAUAGUGAAAGACGGUUUUGCUGUCACUUAUAGAUGGAUCCGCGCCGCAUUAGCUAGUUGGUAAGGUAACGGCUUACCAAGGCAACGAUGCGUAGCCGACCUGAGAGGGUGAUCGGCCAAACUGGAACUGAGACACGGUCCAGAAUCCUACGGGAGGCAGCAGUAGGGAAUCUUCCGCAAUGGGCGAAAGCCUGACGGAGCAACGCCGCGUGAGUGAUGAAGGUCUUCGGAUCGUAAAACUCUGUUAUUAGGGAAGAACAAAUGUGUAAGUAACUAUGCACGUCUUGACGGUACCUAAUCAGAAAGCCACGGCUAACUACGUG
rnacentral:rRNA from 1 species